GGUUCCAUUUCCGUUUCAAAAUGGCUUCUCAGCUGGUCGUUCCGUGUUCAAAACAUGCCGUAUUUCUACGGGGUUUCACAACAUCCGUUUCAACUGACGAUAUCAGGUAUUUUAUAAACAUAUUAGGCAAUUACACGUCGUUUUUCAGGAGCCGAUUAUGUCAAAUAACUUAAAUAUCAGCUCUGGAAUAAAUUUAAGCUGAGGGCGUUGGUCAACCAUUUCUGAAGAAAUUCUUAUUCAAUUAUUAAUUAAACGGUUCUACGCGUUACUAUUUCAGAAAAAUACGAUGGAUGGGGAUAAAAUAUUCUCUUGUAUCCGUUUCUCUUUAAAUUAUUCUUUUACAACAGAAGGUACAAAUGGUCCGGCUUUAAAAAAAAUUCAGUAAAAAUAAAAAUUUUUGUUAUGGUUGAAAGAGACAAAUUGAAGCGUAUUUGCUUUAGAAUUUUUGACUUGAACUCACGUUUUAUACUAGAAUGUUAAUUUUUCAGAAAAUUCUUCGAAGAAAAAACAGGAUGUCUACCAACAGUAGAAUUCAUGCGAGAUUCAGAAGACAAAAAUUUUCUGUAUUUGGCUUUAAGAUUCGAUAGUAAAAGCAUCGCUAAGUCAGUUAUCGAAAAAUUCGAUUCUACAGAUAUUCUUGGAUGUUUCGUUAAAAUCACUUAUUUUCGUGAUAUGAAAAAAGCCAGGGAAAAGGCUCAAGAGCUUUAUGAAAAAGGUUUGGGUCCUAGUCCACGUGAUUUAUUCAAUUCUGAAAUGAACGGCCCAAGAAGAGGCAUGUUCUACCGUAGAGGUAGAGGCAAUUUCAAACGUGGUAGAACUUCAUCUGGUAGUCACAACAAUUAUGAUUAUUCGGCUACCUAUUCGAAGGACACCAAAAGCAGUCGAUAUCAUUAUUCUUCAUCCAGAUCUAGAUCAAGAUCUCGGUCAAGAUCUCGCUCCAGAUCUAGGUCCAGAUCCAGGUCACGAUCAAGAUCUAGAACAUACAGUAGGAGUUUAACUCCAAGACGUAAGAGCAGUAGUUCUGAAUCUAUGAGAUCACGUUCGAGGUCGCCUGUAGAAAGAAAAAAGAAAAAGCACAAGAAGCAUCAUAGAAGUCCUAGCUCGGACUACGAUAGGCAUUCGAGCAGAGAUAAAAAUGAGAUACUACGUAAAGGAAAGCAAAAAAAACAGACAACUGAUGAUGCUGAAGAAGGAGAAUAUGCUAGUGCCGACAAUGCGAAUAUUCCUGAGAAUCACAAGACACUACUCAACAAAAAUGGAAAUUUUAUGUCGAUUUCGAAACAGGAUAAGAGUGUUCAUGGAGAUCAUGCCGUUUUGAAUAAUGAAGUAGCAGAAAUAUUUGGUUUACCCCCAGAAAAAUUAUCGCUUUUAAAGAAUAAAAAAGAGGAAAUUGAACAAUCAUACAGACAAGACUGUGAAACCUUCGCUGCUGUUGUGAAAAUGCUUAUCAGUAAAGAUUCAUCAUUGGAAGAAAAGUUGCAAAAUUCUCUUCGCGAAAAUCUUAAAGAAAUUGGACAAAGGUGUAUUCAAGAGCUAAAGGACUACAUUGACACUUUGAAGUCUGAUUAAUUUACUGUAUGCACGUUUGUGAUCAUUAUUUUUGUUGUACCGGUUUAUUACUUAAACUUAGACACAUAACUCCUAAGAUAUGAAUAAAAUACAAAAUUUAUAAAUAUUCAUAAUACACGUCAAAUAAAAAUAGUUCAUCCAAUAGAUGAAAACGUGGCAGGAA
rnacentral:misc_RNA from 1 species